GUGCCAGCAGCCGCGGUAAUACGUAGGGGGCAAGCGUUGUCCGGAAUCAUUGGGCGUAAAGCGCGUGUAGGCGGCCCGGUAGGUCUGAUGUGAAAACUUGGGGCUCAACCCCAAGCCUGCAUUGGAAACCCUCGGGCUUGAAUCUGGAAGAGGAGAGUGGAAUUCCUGGUGUAGCGGUGGAAUGCGCAGAUAUCAGGAGGAACACCAAUGGCGAAGGCAGCUCUCUGGUACAUGAUUGACGCUGAGACGCGAAAGCGUGGGUAGCAAACAGGAUUAGAUACCCUCGUAGUCC
rnacentral:rRNA from 1 species